UAACGAUGUUGUGAGCAUCUCCUCAAUAAAUCUCUGUAUCUCUCCCAAGAUUCAUACAGUUGUUCAUCAGGCUGUUGAGAGAAAACUACAAUCUCUGAUCUCAAUUU